rnacentral:rRNA from 1 species
CAAAAACAUUGCCUGAUGAACAUAAAUAUAAGGUAAUUCCUGCCCAGUGACAAAAGUUCAACGGCCGCGGUAUCCUAACCGUGCAAAGGUAGCAUAAUCACUUGCCUAUUAAUUGUAGGCUAGAAUGAAUGGAUAAACGAAAUAAAGACUGUCUCAGUCAGCCACCUAAAAAUUAUUUACUAUAUGAAGAAAUAUAGAUAAAAUCGAAGGACAAGAAGACCCUAUAGAGCUUUAUUUAAAACAUAAAAACAUAUUAUGAAAAAAUUCGGUUGGGGCGACCGAGGGAAUCAUAAAUCACCCUCACAAUAAUAGAUAAAUAAAUCUAAAUAUUUGACCCUUAAAAGAUCACAAAAUCAAGCUACCUUAGGGAUAACAGGCUAAUCCCACUCAAGAGUUCAUAUCAACAGUGGGGUUUGGCACCUCGAUGUUGGCUUAGGGUAUCAAUAUAGCGCAAAAGUUAUAUUAUGAUGGUUUGUUCAACCAAUAACUCCCUACGUGAUCUGA